rnacentral:rRNA from 1 species
UCCAAACACCAGCCUCCCCAUUCUCUCAAUUUUAAACAAGACACAUCUACCAGCCACCACCCUCUAGAAGUAAAGGUGAUUGAACCUAGAAACCCACUAUCAGUACCGUAAGGGAAAAAUGAAAAAGCGAUGAAACAGACAUAAAGAACUAAAAAGAAGUGAUAAACUCACGUACCUUUUGCAUUAUGGUUUAGCAAACAAACAGAUAAAACUAUCUCUCCCCGAAGUUAAACGAGCUAUUCCAUUCCAGGGGUUAAAUAUUUAACGCCCUUCGUCCCAUUACUGUCGCAAUAGUAAAGACCGAGAACGGAAUAGAGGUGAAAUGCCAACCGCGUUUAACGAUAGCUGGUUACGGCCGAAACAAGCAGGAGCUUUGCAUGCCCUAGCAAUGUUAGGAUUUUAGGGAUAAGCUUAAAAUCCAAGACAGAAACAACUGCUAAUUAAAAUAAGGUCAAUAACAAUUAAUUCCUCUUAACCGUAGGCUUAGAAGCAGCCAACAAUUAAAAUGCGUUACAGCUUAUAAAACAAAAAUUUAAAAAUAACUGCCACCACAACCUAAUUUAUUUUAGGCCGUUAUUUCUUUUUAGAAAAUAACACUGCUAAAACUAGUAACUCCUCUUCAAUCCCUGACCAUCCGGCUCCUAACCUCGGAAGGAAAUUUUUUAGUUCUAAGAACUCCUAAGCCAGAAAAUCCCAACCGUUGACCCAACCCAGGCGAAGAAUCUAACCAAAAAUAAAGAGAAGGAACUCGGCAAAUAAGGUCUCGCCUGUUUACCAAAAACAUCGCCCCCCGAAGCCCAAAUAUGGGGGGUACUGCCUGCCCAGUGAAUAAAUUUAAACGGCCGCGGUACCCUAACCGUGCAAAGGUAGCACAAUCACUAGCCCUCUAAAUAAGGUCCGGUAUGAAUGGCAACACGAAGGCCUGACUGUCUCCUCUUUAACAAAUGAAACUUCUCUAGCCGUGCAAAAGCGGCCAUAAAAGCGCCAGACGAGAAGACCCUAUCGAGCUUUAAGGGUAAGGGAACGACUAAAAACUAGGCUAGCUGAAUUUAUGGUUUACCAAUUACCCACACCCCUAGCUUUGCUCUUUGUCCCUUGGCCCUUUUGGUUGGGGCAACCACGGAGAACAACCACCCUCCGAGCCAAAUUUCUUUCAAAUGACAGCACGUCUUUAAUAAAACCCUUAUGGCACAUGAUCCGGUCUAUCCGAACAACAAACAAAGUUACCGUAGGGAUAACAGCGUAAUCCCUCCUAAGAGCCCGCAUUGCCGGAGGGGUUUGCGACCUCGAUGUUGGAUCGGGGAAUCCUGAUGGUGCAGCCGCUAUCAAGGGUUGGUCUGUUCGACCAUUAAAACCCCACGUGAUCUGAGUUCAGACCGGCGAGAGCCAGGUCGGCUUCUAUCUACGCAUUUUGUUGCCCUAAGUACGAAAGGACAAGGGUAACCGAGCCAAUAGGCCUCCUACGCUCGACACCAACUUAUGAUUUCAACUAAUCGCUAGG